rnacentral:ncRNA from 2 species
UGGCAACAGCAAGCGCCAGAGCUUGAUCUUGCGCGGGGGAGAAGGGACAGCAGUUGCCUAUAGGGCAAGGCUUGAACGGAUCACGGCAGAUGUAAGCUGACGAGGUGGAGGUGUUCGAAAUGUUCGGCGGGGACCUCCCGGUGAUGCACCAGAGCCGUAAAUGGAAGCGGAAAAUGCGAGGGCGACCUUUCACACAACGUUUCUGUGGGUGCAA